rnacentral:rRNA from 1 species
GUAGUCAUAUGCUUGUCUCAAAGAUUAAGCCAUGCAUGUCUAAGUAUAAGCAACUAUACGGUGAAACUGCGAAUGGCUCAUUAAAUCAGUUAUCGUUUAUUUGAUAGUACCUUACUACAUGGAUAACCGUGGUAAUUCUAGAGCUAAUACAUGCUAAAAACCUCGACUUCGGAAGGGGUGUAUUUAUUAGAUAAAAAACCAAUGCCCUUCGGGGCUCCUUGGUGAAUCAUAAUAACUUAACGAAUCGCAUGGCCUUGCGCCGGCGAUGGUUCAUUCAAAUUUCUGCCCUAUCAACUUUCGAUGGUAGGAUAGUGGCCUACCAUGGUAUCAACGGGUAACGGGGAAUA